rnacentral:rRNA from 1 species
GUGAGGAAUUUUCCGCAAUGGGCGAAAGCCUGACGGAGCAAUGCCGCGUGAAGGAUGAAGGCCUAUGGGUUGUAAACUUCUUUUCUCAGAAAAGAAUUAUGACGGUAUCUGAGGAAUAAGCAUCGGCUAACUCUGUGCCAGCAGCCGCGGUAAGACUGAGGAUGCAAGCGUUAUCCGGAAUGAUUGGGCGUAAAGCAUCUGUAGGUUGUUUAAAAAGUAUUCUGUCAAAGAUUAGGGCUUAACCCUAGAUAGGCAGAAUAAACUUUUAAGCUAGAGUUUGGUAGAGGCAGAGGGAAUUCCCGGUGGAGCGGUGAAAUGCGUAGAUAUCGGGAGGAACACCAAAGGCGAAGGCACUCUGCUGGGCAAAUACUAACACUGAGGGACGAAAGCGAGGGGAGCAAAUGGGAUUAGAUACCCUAGUAGUCC